CUGCCAGAAUUCAUAUGCUUGUCCCGAAGACUUAAGCCAUGCAUGCCCAUUGACAAAUCAAGGCCUGGCGACGGAUUCCCCUUACCGGGAAGGCAGGGAUCAGUUGCCCUGUUAGCCCCUCGCCAGGCCGAGGAAUCAGCGAACGGCUCCGCAUAUCUGUUGUAACCUAUCGUGGUAAGUAAGGCGUGGAUAUAGCACGGAAAAGCUGUGUGUAACACAGUUGAAUUGGGGCAACCUCGGCCGAGUGCCUCUCGGCCUGUUUGGAGUAAUUGGGCACCCUGCAAUGCUGCACUUUGAUCGUAGUGCAGGGCCCAGCCUCGCAAAUCCUCCUAUAGUAAGGUGCCGGGGCAGGCCCCCCUAAAAAAGGGGUCACACCUCGCGUCUACCGAGAAACGGAGGCCUCUUCUGGGGUUCUUUCCCGACCGGGCAGCAAAGUAGCUCCGCUCAGGCAGGUAGCUCGAUAAUUGUCGCCCUGAUCACACAACCCCGUACAGAAGAAACUAACCACGAGCGCACGAUGGGCUUCAGACCUAUCAGCUUGAUGGUAGGGUAUUGGCCUACCAUGGCUAUGACGGGUACAGAGGAUUAGGGUUUGAUCCUGGAGAGGUAGCCUGAGAGAUCGCUCCCACUUCUAAGGAAGGCAGCAGGCGCGUAACGUUCCC
rnacentral:rRNA from 1 species